AAUAGAUACCCCGGUAGUCCACGCCGUAAACGAUGUCGACUUGGAGGUUGUUCCCUUGAGGAGUGGCUUCCGGAGCUAACGCGUUAAGUCGACCGCCUGGGGAGUACGGCCGCAAGGUUAAAACUCAAAUGAAUUGACGGGGGCCCGCACAAGCGGUGGAGCAUGUGGUUUAAUUCGAUGCAACGCGAAGAACCUUACCUACUCUUGACAUCCAGAGAACUUAGCAGAGAUGCUUUGGUGCCUUCGGGAACUCUGAGACAGGUGCUGCAUGGCUGUCGUCAGCUCGUGUUGUGAAAUGUUGGGUUAAGUCCCGCAACGAGCGCAACCCUUAUCCUUUGUUGCCAGCGGUUAGGCCGGGAACUCAAAGGAGACUGCCAGUGAUAAACUGGAGGAAGGUGGGGAUGACGUCAAGUCAUCAUGGCCCUUACGAGUAGGGCUACACACGUGCUACAAUGGCGCAUACAAAGAGAAGCGACCUCGCGAGAGCAAGCGGACCUCAUAAAGUGCGUCGUAGUCCGGAUUGGAGUCUGCAACG
rnacentral:rRNA from 1 species